CCCACAUACACAUACCUCACACACACCACACACACACACCACACACCUCACCCACACACACGCACACAUACACCACACACCACACACACACUUAUACAACACACACAACACACCACACACACACUUAUACACCACACACACGCACACAUACACCACAUACACUUAUACACCACACACACACCACACACACUUAUACACCACACACAUGCACACAUACAGCACACACACACACACCACACACACCACACACAUGCACACAUACAGCACACACACACAUACACCACACACAACACACCACACACACUUAUACAUCACACACCACACACACACCACACACAUGCACACAUACAGCACACACACACAUACACCACACAACACACCACAUACACACACCACACACACGCACACAUACACCAGACAUGCACACUCAUGCCACACACAACCACACACCAUGCACACACCCCCACCCACACACAUACACACAACAC
rnacentral:lncRNA from 10 species